rnacentral:misc_RNA from 1 species
GAUGAAGAACGUAGCGAAAUGCGAUAACUAGUGUGAAUUGCAGAAUUCCGUGAAUCAUCGAGUCUUUGAACGCACAUUGCGCCCCCUGGUAUUCCGGGGGGCAUGCCUGUCCGAGCGUCAUUGCUGCCCAUCAAGCACGGCUUGUGUGUUGGGUCGUCGUCCCCCCCUCCGGGGGGGGACGGGCCCUAAAGGCAGCGGCGGCACCGCGUCCGAUCCUCGAGCGUAUGGGGCUUUGUCACCCGCUCUGUAGGCCCGGCCGGCGCUUGCCGAACGCAAAACAACCAUUCUUUCCAGGUUGACCUCGGAUCAGGUAGGGAUACCCGCUGAACUUAAGCAUAUCAAAAGCGGAGGA